AUGAUGUCUCAGAUUAAAACGGCAGAACAUCCGUCCUGGUGUCUGCUAUUGUAUCUCGGUAGUGAGCCAGGCUCCUGCCAAAUAGAUCGAUACUGCUUUAAACCCCCCUGCUGUCAGGAAAUUGAAAAAAAAUAUGCAGCCGCGGGCCUGAUUUGCAAACGGCUGGAAGGAACGCGCCGGAGAGAGACUGCGAGCGUGUGUCUGUAGCCAGCAGGGUUUGCAGGCGAGUGUGGCGUGAGAAACGAGAUGUACAGUAUGUGAGCGCAUGUGUGCAUUCCACACACACACACACACACACACACACACGUGUGUGUAUACCGUCUACGCACACAACAAGUGUGCGUGUGCACACCCAUGCUCCCGCAGACCGAACAGAGGCUGGCUCACACACACGCCUAUUUUUCACCUGCAAACGCCUCCUGGGUUUCCAGCGGAGGGACUGGAGGCCAGAGAGAGACAGGGGCCAUGUGUGCACGGCCCCUUUAAGAGCCCCGGGUGCGCGCAAAAGCCCGACUCCCCUUUUCCCCGCGCGCCCCCGCCUCCUCUCUCCCUCACUCCGCUUUAAAGUCUGAGCCAGGCGCCGGGCUCACAUGGUGCGUCCUGCAUGGAGGAAUGGAGCGCGCCCGGCUGCCGUCUGACCGCCGCCGAGCCGCCGCUGCCCGGGGCACGGACUGAGAGCCUGCGCCCGGCCCCUGCCAUGGCUUGGCCCCGGAGGCUGCCUGCAUGAGGAGCGAGGGAGAGCCCCAGCUCCAGCCCCGCCACGGCGCUUCUCCUCCGGCCGCCGCCGCCGCUCGGGGAGUGAAGUUCUGAGCGCUCCCCGGGAGCCGACCCAGCCGCCGCGGGGCUGCUCCGGGCCUGGCGCUUGCUGCGUCCGGGACCUGCUGCUCCGGCCCCCCAGCACCCCCGCUUUGCCCCCGGCCGGGGCGGGUGACCCGGGGACGUGGGGCGGGGUUGGUCUGGUUGGCUGGCUGGGUUUUUUUGGGGGGGUGGGUGGCUGGCUGGGGAAAGGGGGAGGACAAGCGGCAACUUCUUCUCCACAAGUUCCAGCCCCCUCCUCGCCCCCUUUCGAUGUGCGCCUUUGGACAUGCGGAGGCUACUGCAACCGUGUUGGUGGAUCUUUUUCUUGAAAAUCACCAGCUCCGUGCUCCAGUAUGUGGUGUGCUUCCCCGAUCACUGUGGCAGUUUUAUGUCUAAAUUAAAAGGUCUUCCCAUGCGUGAUGCACUAAAAUGAAUAUUCUCAAGUGGUGGUUGUUGAAGGGGAGAACACUGAUUCAAUUGCUACUAAAUCUGCGUAAACAUCUACCGUCAAUAAUGCAAUGUCUUGUCAACUUUAACCAACUGAUAUUACUUCAUGCCAAAAAUCUGGGAAGUUCAGUGGCUUUAGGGGACCAAAUGUUUAUGCAAUCUGCAACUCAACAAUAAACUAAUUGCUUUCUAA